UGGGGAAUAUUGGACAAUGGGCGAAAGCCUGAUCCAGCAAUGCCGCGUGAGUGAUGAAGGCCUUAGGGUUGUAAAGCUCUUUUACCAGGGAUGAUAAUGACAGUACCUGGAGAAUAAGCUCCGGCUAACUCCGUGCCAGCAGCCGCGGUAAUACGGAGGGAGCUAGCGUUGUUCGGAAUUACUGGGCGUAAAGCGUACGUAGGCGGUGACUCAAGUCAGAGGUGAAAGCCUGGAGCUCAACUCCAGAACUGCCUUUGAAACUAGGUCGCUAGAAUCACGGAGAGGUGAGUGGAAUUCCGAGUGUAGAGGUGAAAUUCGUAGAUAUCAGGAGGAACACCUGAGGUGAAGACGGGUUGCUGGGCUGACACUGACGCUGAGGCGCGAAAGCCAGGGGAGCAAACGGGAUUAGAUACCCAAGUAGUCCCUGAGCGGGCUGGCAAGGCGCAU
rnacentral:rRNA from 1 species